rnacentral:rRNA from 1 species
CGGCGGACGGGUGAGUAACGCGUGGGUAACCUGCCUUGUACGUGGGGGACAACAGUGGAACGACUGCUAAUACCGCAUAAGCGCACAGCUUCGCAUGAAGCAGUGUGAAAAACUCCGGUGGUACAAGAUGGACCCGCGUCUGAUUAGCUGGUUGGUGAGGUAACGGCCCACCAAGGCGACGAUCAGUAGCCGGCCUGAGAGGGUGAACGGCCACAUUGGGACUGAGACACGGCCCAA